GGGGCGUGGUAAUGCAGUGGUUAGCACGUACUCCCGCAAAGUGUGAGACACGGGUUCAGCUCCCGCUUGGUGCUCCA